UGGGAGCCUUGUGUGUGGCCCUGUGCUGCUGACUCACCAGGCUGAGAAGAGCGAACACAUACUAGGGAUGAAGGGGCCUGUUUAUGCCCUGCCACCACCUCCAAACCACCCUGCCACCCCAGAUCCCUUUUGGCCAGGGGCUUCCUGAGGACACCAGCUGCCCCGAGGAGACCUACCCAGAGGUUUCCUAAGUGUCUCUCGUUUGAUUCCUUUAAAAGUAACCAGAAUCAGAAGUUCCCGUGGCCGAUGCUUGAGGAUGGAUUUGAGCGGAGACGUGACUUCACUACUCAAGAAGUGAUGCAGGAGAUGGAGAAUGACUUAAGUUUUCAAAAGCACAAGAAAAUCAGCACCCCAACUGCCGAGUGCU
rnacentral:lncRNA from 1 species